rnacentral:rRNA from 1 species
AUUGAACGCUGGCGGCAUGCCUUACACAUGCAAGUCGAACGGUAACGCGGGGCAACCUGGCGACGAGUGGCGAACGGGUGAGUAAUACAUCGGAACGUGCCCAGUAGUGGGGGAUAGCCCGGCGAAAGCCGGAUUAAUACCGCAUACGACCUACGGGUGAAAGCGGGGGAUCGCAAGACCUCGCGCUUUUGGAGCGGCCGAUGUCAGAUUAGCUAGUUGGUGGGGUAAAGGCCUACCAAGGCGACGAUCUGUAGCUGGUCUGAGAGGACGACCAGCCACACUGGGACUGAGACACGGCCCAGACUCCUACGGGAGGCAGCAGUGGGGAAUUUUGGACAAUGGGGGCAACCCUGAUCCAGCCAUGCCGCGUGCGGGAAGAAGGCCUUCGGGUUGUAAACCGCUUUUGUCGGGGAAGAAACGGUCUGCGCUAAUACCGCGGACUAAUGACGGUACCCGAAGAAUAAGCACCGGCUAACUACGUGCCAGCCGCCGCGGUAAUAC